UAUCGUAAUAGUAAUUGAGGGUAGUACGAGAGGAACUGCUCAUUCAGAUAAUUGGUAUUUGCGCCUGUCCGAUCGGGCAAUGGCGCGAAGCUAUCAUCUGCUGGAUUAUGGCUGAACGCCUCUAAGCCAGAAUCCGUGCUAGAAACGAUGAUGUUGGUCCCGCACAUUUGACUUGAGUUGAAAUAGAGCUUUGCUCGUGAACCAAAUCAGGUGGGCUUGGUCGUCUUUGCGGAAAUGCUUUGGCGGCUUGUCUACGAAUUGUAAUCAUAAUAUGGGCGGGGGUGAAUCCUUUGCAGACGACUUGAAUAGAACGGAGUACUGUAAGUGGUAGAGUAGC
rnacentral:rRNA from 1 species